rnacentral:rRNA from 1 species
UCGGUGAUGCACUUAACAGAUUAAGUGAACCGCCUGGGGAGUACGGUCGCAAGAUUAAAACUCAAAGGAAUAGACGGGGACCCGCACAAGUGGUGGAGCAUGUGGUUUAAUUCGAAGAUACGCGAAGAACCUUACCUAGCCUUGACAUUGAUUGAACCUGCCAGAGAUGGCGGGGUGCCUUCGGGAACAUGAAAACAGGUGCUGCACGGCUGUCGUCAGCUCGUGUCGUGAGAUGUUGGGUUAAGUCCCGCAACGAGCGCAACCCUCGUCACUAGUUACUAACGAUUCGGUCGAGGACUCUAGUGAGACUGCCUUCGUAAGGAGGAGGAAGGUGAGGACGACGUCAAGUCAUCAUGGCCCUUACGGCUAGGGCAACACACGUGCUACAAUGGUUAGGACAAUGAGAGGCGAUACCGCGAGGUGGAGCAAAUCUAUAAACCUAAUCUCAGUUCGGAUUGUAGUCUGCAACUCGACUACAUGAAGCUGGAAUCACUAGUAAUCGUAGAUCAGCUAUGCUACGGUGAAUACGUUCCCGGGUCUUGUACUCACCGCCCGUCACACCAUGGGAGUUGAUUUCACCCGAAGCGGGGAAGCUAAACUGGCUACCCUCCACGGUGGAAUUAGCGACUGGGGUGAAGUCGUAACAAGGUA